CAACAGAUAGUUUAUUUAAAAUUUAGGUUUUGGGUGCUUAAGAAAAUUAUUUUUAUUUUUGUUGA
rnacentral:tRNA from 1 species